rnacentral:rRNA from 1 species
GAUGAACGCUGGCGGCGUGCCUAAUACAUGCAAGUCGAGCGAACAGACGAGGAGCUUGCUCCUCUGACGUUAGCGGCGGACGGGUGAGUAACACGUGGAUAACCUACCUAUAAGACUGGGAUAACUUCGGGACACCGGAGCUAAUACCGGAUAAUAUAUUGAACCGCAUGGUUCAAUAGUGAAAGACGGUUUUGCUGUCACUUAUAGAUGGAUCCGCGCCGCAUUAGCUAGUUGGUAAGGUAACGGCUUACCAAGGCAACGAUGCGUAGCCGACCUGAGAGGGUGAUCGGCCACACUGGAACUGAGACACGGUCCAGACUCCUACGGGAGGCAGCAGUAGGGAAUCUGCCGCAAUGGGCGAAAGCCUGACGGAGCAACGCCGCGUGAGUGAUGAAGGUCUUCGGAUCGUAAAACUCUGUUAUUAGGGAAGAACAAAUGUGUAAGUAACUAUGCACGUCUUGACGGUACCUAAUCAGAAAGCCACGGCUAACUACGUG